AGGGGGGAAGGGGGGGUGAUGAAAAACAGUCAGGUAAUUGAGACAAAUUUUAAUUGAACUGUGCAUUUUACUAACUGUUAUGCACAAAGCUUUAUUGUAAGGUUGCUGUGGCAACCUUAACUUUGAGUGUCCUGAUGUGUGAUUAAAAUCUUAGAUUUAAACGUUUCAUUAACAAAGAGGGAUUUUUUUUUUUUCAUGGGAAGCCACCAAAACCACUGAUCCUGAAGACUGAGGAUCCGAGUGUCACCUUUGAUUUUAGUCACUGAGGGGAGGAAAGCAGAGAAUCAGCCACACAGAUGGCUAAAAGUCCGGGAGGGAGGGAGAUCCUUUUCCUUCCUUACAAAUGCCUGCCCCCUUUUUCCCCCUGCCCUGCAUCUUCCCACUCCUUAAGGACGCUAUACCAAUCAGACUUAGAAGCUUAAAAGGCCAUAAAGGGAAAAAUGUCAGGUACGAGCUGCUCUGCUCAGCAUGACAGGAGUUCAGAUAAGAACACAAAAAAUACCACAUGGGGUUAGACAUAAGGUUCAUUUAGCUGGGUAACCUUUGCCUGGAAACAGCAAGUAGCAAAUGCUUAGGAUAUGUAUAGACUUGACCUUUCUCUCUCAGACCCUCCCAGCUCCUGAUAACCACUACUUAAAUGUGUCCUUGCAAUGCUCCCCUGAAUGGUGUUUUUUCCUAGUAAAGACCUUCCAAGGAAAAAAGGUGAAAACUCAUAGGACAUCUAACCAUUUAUGGACCAUAGGAGCAACACACAAUUUCCUGACCUGCUGGGUUUUCUCUAUUCUGAAUUGGACAAAACCUUGUGACUUACAAAAUACUAAUAAACUGACAAACACAUAUGGAGGAUAAACUCUGCUAAACAGAACUAUUUCAUACUGUCUUCUGUGAGUCUGCAGUAUGUAAAACUUUAAAAAAAGAAAAAGUAAUUUUUAUUUUUAGUAGAGAGAGAUAUAUUAGGAAAAAAAAUUGAAACAUUAUGUAUAUUUUAACUAUCAUUUGAUCUAUUAGGAGAUAUUCUCAUGAGAAACCUCCUUUUAACACUGACACUUUUCUGAUUAUUUUUAACUUAGUCUAAAUCUUUAAAUUAAAAAAUAAACAUAAAAAAAUAAAAAAGUGAGUUAUUCCU
rnacentral:lncRNA from 1 species